GUUCCUUUGCGGAGAGAAUAGAGCCAUUGUGUUCCGCGUGUUUAUGACGCAGUUAGAGAGAUGAAACCGACACAUAUGAAAAUUUAACAAGCAGUAAAAACCAGGAUAGAAGUGGAGCCAAGUGAUGGAACUGUCACUGGAAAGCUGAGUGGCGGAUGGGUAAGUCCAAGUCGAGAGCUGGAGGGACUUCGCGGACGGACGCUGGUUCUCCAGUUCGUGUCGGGGAGACGGAGGCAGGAGGAUGACUCGAGCUCGUUUGAGGCCAGCCUGGGUUAUAGUCUCAAGAAGCCAAACCAAAG
rnacentral:lncRNA from 1 species